rnacentral:rRNA from 1 species
UACAGAGGGGGCGAGCGUUGUUCGGAAUUACUGGGCGUAAAGGGCGCGUAGGCGGCCAACUAAGUCAGACGUGAAAUCCCUCGGCUCAACCGGGGAACUGCGUCUGAUACUGGAUGGCUUGAAUUCGGGAGAGGGAUGCGGAAUUCCAGGUGUAGCGGUGAAAUGCGUAGAUAUCUGGAGGAACACCGGUGGCGAAGGCGGCAUCCUGGACCGAGAUUGACGCUGAUGCGCGAAAGCCGGGGGAG